rnacentral:rRNA from 1 species
AGGAUAAACGCUGGCGGCGUGCCUAACACAUGCAAGUCGAACGCGCUUUCGGGCUUCGGUGCGAGAGCGAGUGGCGGACGGGUGAGUAACACAUGGGUACCUGCCUUUCAGUGAGGGAUACCGGCGAGAAAUCGCCGACAAUACCGCAUGGGCUUGUGGGAACACAAGCAAAGUGGCGCAAGCCACGCUGGAAGAUGGGCCUGUGGCCGAUUAGCUAGUUGGGGGGGUAACGGCCUCCCAAGGCGACGAUCGGUAGCUGGUCUGAGAGGACGAUCAGCCACACUGGGAUUGAGAACGGCCCAGACUCCUACGGGGGCAGCAGUGAGGAAUUUUCCGCAAUGGACGAAAGUCUGACGGAGCAACGCCGCGUGCAGGAGGAAGGUUUUCGGAUCGUAAACUGCUUUUCUCGGGGACGAGCAAGGACGGUACCCGAGGAAGAACGCCCCGGCUAACUACGCGCCAGCAGCCGC